rnacentral:tRNA from 1 species
GGAUUAGUAGUUUAUGAUAAAACUUUGGUCUGUAAAACCAAUAAAUUUAAUCUU